rnacentral:rRNA from 1 species
CCAGACUCCUACGGGAGGCAGCAGUGAGGAAUAUUGGUCAAUGGGCGGGAGCCUGAACCAGCCAAGCCGCGUGAAGGAAGAAGGCGCCAAGCGUCGUAAACUUCUUUUGUCGGGGAACAAAGGGCGCCACGUGUGGCGUUGUGAGUGUACCCGAAGAAAAAGCAUCGGCUAACUACGUGCCAGCAGCCGCGGUAAUACGUAGGUGACAAGCGUUGUCCGGAUUUACUGGGUGUAAAGGGCGCGUAGGCGGACUGUCAAGUCAGUCGUGAAAUACCGGGGCUUAACCCCGGGGCUGCGAUUGAAACUGACAGCCUUGAGUAUCGGAGAGGAAAGCGGAGUUCCUAGUGUAGCGGUGAAAUGCGUAGAUAUUAGGAGGAACACCAGUGGCGAAGGCGGCUUUCUGGACGACAACUGACGCUGAGGCGCGAAAGUGUGGGGAGCAAACAGGAUUAGAUACCCGCGUAU